ensembl:rRNA 5S_rRNA 5S ribosomal RNA
GCUUACGGCCAUACCACCUUAGGCACGCCAUCGCGUCCGAUCUCGUCUGAUCUCGGAAGCUAAGCAGGGUCGGGCCUGGUUAGUACUUGGAUGGGUGACCGCCUGGGAAUACCAGGUGCUGUAAGCA